UAUCUAUACUUAAGAUGUUAAACCAUGGGGAUAUAUGCUAAAUUGUUUGUGUAUUGUACAGGCAUUAGUAUCUUUUAUCAGCGCGUAGGACAAUGAUUAAAAGUCGUGUUGACCCGCAUAUUCUGGCUUCUAAAAUCCUAAUGACAACUUAUGCGUAAAAAGUUGAGGAUCAACCAUAGAUGUAAAAAACAAAGCAUCUUUUGAUGGUAUUGUUUGGCAUGGCUUUGCCAAUUCCUAAUUAUACGUUAGUAGGAGCUUUGCACUGUAUACUUAUUGUCUCUUGGACUUGUCUCAGCAUUGCAACUGCAAAUGGAAUCACAGGGAACAUUCCAUAUGGACUAGGUAUCCUUUCUAAACUCACUUAUCUUGACUUAUCUUCUAAUGACAUAAAGGGAACUAUCUCACGUAGGUUUAUAGGUUUUCUUUUUCAGUUCUACUCGAUGUGAGAUUUCACCUCACAUUUAUACUCCAACAGCCGCAUCACCCCUUUCCCUUCUUGUUAUUCCUCUCCUCACAGACCAAAUAAUAUAGAUUUGGAUUUGGUAGUGGUAAUGAAGAUUUUCCUUCCUCCCACUCCUUUGCUUGCUCUUCUAUGCUCUGCUUAUGUUUUCCACCGCUGUUGUAAGGCUGGGAAUUGCAUGUCUAUUUCAAAAGAAACAAAGAAUGGUGACAUGUUUUCAAUAUGGAACUAUGAUGGUAAAAUUGCAUAGAAAGACAUAAUUGAAGCAACAGAGAAUUUUGACAUCAUAUACUGCAUAGGAGCUGGUGGUUAUGGCAGUGUCUACAAAGCACAGCUACCUAGUGGUAGAGUAGUGGCCUUGAAGAAACUUCAGAAUUUAUAAGCCACAGAAAUCCGCAGGAUUUUCAAGAAUGAGGUAAGAAUGUUGACAAAGAUAAGGCAUAGAAAUAUUGUGAAGCUCUAUGAAUUCUGCUUGCACAACAGAUGCAUGUUUCUGCUUUUGGAGUACAUGGAGAGGGGAAGCUUGUAUUGCAUUCUCCGCGAUGACAUUGAAGCUGUGGAGUUGGAUUGGACCAAGAGGGUCAACAUUGUGAAAGGCAUAGCACAUAGCUUAUCAUACCUUCACCAUGAUUGCAAACCAGCAAUUAUUCAUAGAGAUGUAACAACAAAAAAUGUUCUCUUGAAUUUAGAAAUGGAGGCUUGUCUCUCUGACUUUGGAAUUGCAAGACUUCUAAACUCUGGUUCCUCCAAUCGAACUGUACUUGAUGGCACUAAUUGAUAUAUUGCACCAGAACUUGCCUAUAGUGAUUGCGUGACUCAGAAAUGUGAUGUCUACAGCUUUGGAGUGGUUGCACUUGAAAUUAUCAUAUGAAAACAUCCUGGAGAACUUGUUUCCUCGUUAAGAUCUGCAUCCUCACAAGGAAUUCUCCUCAAAGAUAUAUUAGACCCCCGAUUAAUAUCCACCAUCAAUAAAAAAUCUGCUCAGAGUUUAGCUCUUAUAGCAACACUGGCCUUUGCAUGUCUUCAUUCUCAGCCAAGGCUUAGACCAACAAUGCAGGUAAUGUGUGAUAAACUUCUCACGGGAAAGCCCCGAUUAACCAUACCAUUUGAAGAAAUUUCAAUAAAGCAAAUUGUAAAUCAGGAAUUGUAACUGAUUUCUAGAACAUCAUGCUCUGAACAUAAACAAAAUGCAUGGAAAUUUUAAAAAAUAUAUUUGUUGUUUUCUGUCUUUACUUUUA